AAUAUGAAUUUUAAUAAUAAUGUUCAUGUAAUUUCAAAGCAGAAGUGCAUUGAAUUCUUCAUGCAUCUUAAUAAACUGAGAGUACAAAGUGUACGGUUGCACAAAGAGACUGGAAUAGCCAAGACUUUCCUUCAGAGGAAGAAGGUGGGAAUAGAGUCUGCUUAGACUGGCUCUACUAAGAGCUACACGUGUUAUAAAGCUACAGUAACUAAGACAGCCUGAACAAGUAUAGACAAGCUUAUGGUACUGAAUAGAGAGCUUUGACAUAGAACCAGAUGUAAUAUAUAAGUGACAUUGUCGAUUACUAGGGAUGUAUGGGGCAAAAAUGAAAUCGAACUCUGUCCUGACAUCAUACGCAAAGUCAAGGUCAGGUAGGAUGAGGAUGGAAAGGUGAAAUGCAACACUUCACAGUUUUAAAAAUUAAUAUAGAAGAAUAUAACAUCAGAGUAAGAUAAAUUUCUUAAACCAGCAAAAAAAGGCACUAAGGAAGUACUAGACAUUUUUUAAAUAUUGCUAAUUGUGAUCUCAUUAAAAUGUAAAACUUCUGUUCAUCAAAGAACACCACGAAAAGAAAGAAAUGUAAGCCAUAAACUGGAAGGAGAUAUUUACAAUACAUACAGUGAACAAAAGAGUCAUUUUCCAAAUAGACGUGUGUGUGUGUGUGUGUGUGUGUGUGUGUGUGUGUAAAACUAUGAAUCAACAAAAAGACAAUGAUAGGAAAUCAGCAAAAUUCGUAAAAAUUAUUGCUCAGACGAGGAAACAUAAAUGACAAAUGAAUAUACAAAAAAUUUCAACCUUACUGGUAAUUAAGGAUUAGCUCAUUAAAACAUAAUUAGAUAUUACUAGACUGGGAAAAAUUAGAAAGUCUGAUGAUUGUAAUCAUUGGCAAGAAGUGGAUUUAAAGUAAGUCUUGUACCCUGCAGGUGGGAGUGUAAACUGUUAGAACAGCUUGGCAUUAUCUUGUAAAGUGAAGAUUAAUUAAUCCUAUGACUCAGUUCUUCCAAUCCUAGAUACAGAGCCUAGAGAUGCUUUGACAUAUCUUACCAGGAGCUACAAAUAGGAACAUUUGUAGCAACAGUGUUUGUAAUCUUGACAACUGGAAAUGACUGAAAUGUCUGUCUCUAGAAGAACACACAUGUCAGUGGGGGCCUAUUCAAAUCCUGGAAUACUAUGCAGCGGUGAAGAUGAGUUACCUAUGCUCCAUGCAUCAACUGCAGUCCCAAAAUUACAAUAUUUAAUGAAAGAAAAAAACAAAUGACUCAGGACUACAUACAGCAGGAUGCCUCUUAUGUAAAGUUCAAAAUUUUACAGAUACAUUCAGUGGUGUAUAAAAGUGGAAGGGGUAUGGCCCACCCCUGGUGCAGGUGAUGAAAAGAUGCAUUAUUUGUAAAGAAAUUUAAAACAAUGAUAAAAUGGACUGACUCCAUCUGCUGCUGCUUAACAGUAUGCAUCAGUGAUUCUGAACAACGUUACUGACAAAAUUAUCCUCCCCACAAGGACUCCUAUUUCCAAUCCCUACAUUUCCACCUUGGUACAUAACUGAACACAUAUUUUAGAGACAUUUCAUUGCUAUAGUAAAAAGUAUGAAAAAUAACAGGAUGAUAAAUUUAAAGUUCAGCUAAGUGGUUUAUCUUGGAGAGCAAGAGGGGAAUAUAACUUGGGGACCAGUGGAUGCCUUCAAGGGUAUUCCUUAUGUUCUAUUUUUUAAAUCGAGUGAUUGGCGCCUCACUAUUUAUCGCAUUUUUAAUAUUUAUGUAUUUCUCAUGGUUUUUUUUUUUUUUUUUUGGCUGCACCCGCAGCAUGGAUCACCUGUGUGCCACAGCAACAACCCAAGCCACAGUAACACCCACUGAGCCACCAGGGAACUCUGAUUAUAUUUAUUUAUAUCUUCUUCUGUAUGUAGGAAAUACUCCAUGCUCAAGAGAAAAUUAAAGAUGCAAAAGCAGCAAGGUGAGGGAGGAGGGUUGGAGAGGACUAGGUCUGUAGUGCAUUGGAAGCUGCAAACUCAAGAAAGAAGAAGAGGAGCAGAAAACAGGGAGGAACCACACAGGGGCAGCAGCCACAGGCACCCAGGCUGAAGCACACGUGGCGUGAGAAGAUCAGGAACAGUCGGGACCCCGAAUCCCUGAGCCUCCCGAAAAAGAAUAGCCCUUUCUUCUGAGACUGAAGUUGAACAGAAAGGCAGAGCAGUAAGAAGAAAGUGGGUCUUGGAAGCGGGCAGAGCUGGCUGCUGGGCCACACACUGCUGGGAGGGCAGCAGCACAAGGCCCGGGAGGCUGUCCUGGCUUUCACAACGGGGACCUUGUCUCCAGCCAUUCCAUGCAGAAGAGGCGGGAGCCAGAUUGCAGUGGAGGAAGAUGUGACUCAAAGAAAGGGCGACCAGACAACUCUGAAGAAGUCUGGCUGGGAGGAUGAGGAGGAGCAGCAGCUGGGAAGAAACAUGGAAUCAAGGGAGAGAUUUUAUUAAACUUGCAAAAUGCUCUUUUAAAAAUCCCCAUCUGGUUUAGCCCCAUUAGGCAGAGAGGAUGCCUUCAGGCCUUCCCUGGGUGCUGGUAGCUUUAAGUGUGGCAGAUGUCCACUGGCUUUGAAACAGGGGGCUUGGUGGCAUUUGGAUGAGGGGGCGGCUGUCUGUCAUGGAGGGGGGCAAUAUUUUAUCACUUACUGUUCAGAAUCACUAAUAGCUGGUGAUGGUGAAAGAAUAAGAGAAAGCAAACCACAUUUAGUCAUUUUUAGUCUUGUUUUUUAAUUUUCUACAGACAAUGCACCUUUUGUGGCCUGCACAGACAGACUGCUCCUACCACCAGCCCUUGGUAUGUACCCCCAAUGGGAGGGGUGGGAUUGGAGUCUCCAGGCCCUAGUGUGCACCUGGGCUCCUUCACGUUCUAGCUGACUGGUCUGGGCAGGUUUGAGCCUCAGCGCCCUUUGGCUCACUGUAACUGAGGCUAAUUCUUAGCCCCUUAAGAGUUGUUGUGAGGAUGGAAUGAGAUAACAGGAAAGCCCCAAGUGCUUAGCACUCAGUAGGUGCUUACUAAGUGUCCUUUUGAAGUCAGAAAGCAUAGAAGAUUGUGACCAGGGUUGCUCCAGCUCCUAGUGGAGGAGCAAAGGCCCUCUGAGGGCCUGGGGUGAAUUUGGAGUGGGAAAGGUGAGGGUAUCUAUCCUCUGCCCAGAUCCACUACUGGUGGUUUGCCUCAGCCUGCAGCUAAUCCCUCCCACCCCUGGGCUGCUAUCUGUCCAUAAAGGCCUCCCCACAACCCCAGAGGCCAGGCCUGAAUCCUGCCCUGCCCUCCCCGUGGUCCCUGAGGACAUGCGACUGACUGGGCCGCAGGGGGCAGUUGUCAUGGGGACGCAGGCCCUGCUGAGCUUCCUCCUUAGCAACGGGACUCCCCGGGCUGGUUACUAUGGAAACAGCAUGGACUAGGCAAUCAGUGAUGAGGACCGGGUUCCCUGCCCUUUUCUGAGGACUUUCCCCUCUUCCUGCUGGCAGGCAACACGGCACUCCUCGCACACGCUGGGAGCCCCAGGGACUUCGCUUUUCCAGUCUCAGGGCACUGCCUCUCGCCUAUGUGCCUGCAAGGUUCAGCUCCCAGGGCACUUGGGGACCCUCUGUGGACAGAGGUGACAGAGGUGGCUGAGGGCUUCACAGAGGGUCUGUGGGUCAGGUGUGUCUCCCCUGCUGCCCCCCCCACCCAGACACCACGAUGGCGAGUGGGUGCCACACCUCCAAACCCUGCAGGAACCUGGUGGUUGUGCCCC
ensembl:lncRNA